UACAGAGGUCCCGAGUGUUGUUCGGAUUUAUUGGGCGUAAAGGGUGCGUAGGCGGCGGAGUAAGUUGGGUGUGAAAUCCCGGGGCUUAACCUCGGAAUUGCAUUCAAUACUGCUUCGCUAGAGUACUGGAGAGGAGGCUGGAAUUUACGGUGUAGCAGUGAAAUGCGUAGAUAUUGGGAAGAACACCGGUGGCGAAGGCGGUUCUCUGGGAAUGUCCUGACGCUGAGGAGCGAAAGUGUGGGGAGCGAACAGG
rnacentral:rRNA from 1 species